CAGAAUAAGCGUAAUGGAAUAUAUGAGUCUGUGUGGUGCAAAUAAUUCUUAUCCUGUGCAAUAUUGUUAGGAUAGCUUGUAAAUUUUUAAAUUCCUUUUUGCAAUAGACUCUGGAUAAAGAGGAAAAUCAAGUGAUUGGUACAAGGUGACAUCUUGGAGGGGUUCCAUAAUUGUUGGUGGAAUUCACGGGGAUCGGAUUUAGAAAGAUUGAAACACUUUGUAUUUGACGUCUUCAUGCUUGUGUAGUGUGCAGCAUUUCAAACAUUUUACGACUGAAAAUCUAAAAGCAUUAUCUUCCAAAUCCGUUAUUAGUUAUAAAAUGAUGUUCUUCCAGUUUCUUCCUUAAUUCCAUAUGAUUGACAACUUCGUAAGUAGGUUCACUUCAAUCAUUGGCGUUGAAUGCAGUAACUUUAACUAGUUCGGAAUUUGUUAAAAUUAGAAAUUUUGAAGAUUUUCAUUUUUUUGGGGGAGUUGUCGUAUUUUGGGAAAAUAAUUUGGUAAAAAAAGGUAGCGUUUGUUUGUAUUUUGAGUUAUAGUUUGGGGGAGACAUUUUGCACCAUAGGUUGUACGGGUCAAGUUAUGUAUGAAAGUAUUAGAAGAAAGAAAGAAGAAUAUUAUUAUCCAUUUGUGCAUUAUGUAUUUACCCCGAUUUAUCUUUCGAAAACCAAAAUUGAUGGUAAUGACUAAUGCGAGUUUUUUUCUGACAGGCAAAAAAUUAUCUACAAGACUGCAUCUGGUGUUUGUUUGGUUCCUUUUUUUGCUGCUGUCAAAAUAAACAAGUGUCUCGUUGACGAAAGAGGCAAAACGAUCUAUAAGACUGCAUGCGCUGGUGUUUGUUUGGUUCCAUUGACAUUGAGCUUUGGUUAAUCUUGGGUGGUGUGAUUCUUUUUUUUUUCUGGUGCUGCCAAAUAAAGAAGUGUCUCGUUGAUGCAAGAGGUUCGAUAUAUUCUUUCGACUGUAUCGAAUAUGAAUCUGGCGAUUGAGUUUCGGUAAAAUGCUUCUGCAUGACCAUGGUGUUUGGAUUUUUAGUUUUUGAUGUGUGCAGACAAAUUUGAUGCUGAAAGAUUGAUUUAUUUGAGCAACAGUAAGUUUGGUGAGUAAUGUAUUUUUCGCAGAUCUUUUGUGAAAUAUAAAUGAUUUUUUUUUUCUGCUUCAA